UGCUGUCCUCCAUUAGGGCUUAUGGCACCAUUUCUCAUCAUAGAUACUCUAAACAGCUUUUACAACUCCCUCAUUUGUCGGCAUUUUUCUCUUAGGGACACAUUUCAUUUUCUUUCUUUCUAUGAUGCUUCCCCUUAUCUCCUUUCUUUUUUUCUCGUCCUCUUUUAUCGUCUCCCCUUUUUAUCUUUUUUUUUUUUACUUUCCUUUUAAGACAUUGAUAAGUAUCAAUUAUCUAUUGAAUCAGAUCACUCAAAUGAGUUAGAUAUUCAAAACAAAAAUCCUUUAUUUAAAUUAUAUUCAAAAUUAAAA
rnacentral:lncRNA from 1 species